UAACGAUGAUAAAAACCAUUUCAGAAAUUACUCAAGUAGCAGUGUCGCACCAGUUAUCAAGCACAAGUUUCCAGCAAGAAAAUAAAAAAUCAAGCACAAGCUGAAGCAGUGGUCCGAUACUCCCAUCAGAAAUCAGAACGAUCAUGUUUCUUCUGCCCUUGAUAAUUUACACGUACGGCACAUUCGUACUCUCAUACUUUUCCCCGGUAAAAUUCACACAGCACAUGAUGCUGCAUCGCGCGCAUCGCACGCAGCUGAUCCAUCAACAGCCGACGGCGGCGGACGGGCAAUCAACGGCCAGCUCACAGGCUGGGCACCCUCUCGGCGGCGCCGGAGAUGACGGUGAGCAGGUUGUUGCCGAAGGGGUCGCUGAGGUGCGCGCACAGGUUCUCAAAGGGGCCCUCGCCGGUGACGUAGGCCUGGAUGAAGAAGCCCAGCAUGGAGAACAUGGCCAGCCGUCCGUUCUUGAUCUCCUUCACCUUGAGCAGCGCCGCCUGGUCGGGGUCGGUGGCGAGGCCGAGCGGGUCGAAUGGGCCACCGGGGUGGAGCUUGUCAUCAAAUUCC
rnacentral:lncRNA from 1 species